UGAGUCCUUGUUACACGUGAGCAGGAGCCUGGCAUGGGCAGAACUGUGUCAGGAAGGGGGCGGUGCUUAUGUGAACUGUGCUGAGACCAGCUGAUUGCCAUCUACUGAAUUUCUUUAAUGAUCGAUUGUUGUCACGACCCACAGUUUCCAAGGCUCUGCCUAACAGGAGACGCCUCUUCUUAAUUUGAAGGCCAUGGCAGCGUCCUGUCACCAAAUCCAGGAGGGCCUGCAGACGUGAACCUGGAGAGGCUCUGGCUGGGGAGUUUGGAGGUUUCGUGGAAGAAACCUUCCACGAUGGGAGAAAGCAGAGGCCUGGGAAGGUUCCGCGGAGAAGGGCAGAGGCCUGGGAACGAGUCGGCGGGGACCGUCCAGGUGAUGGAAGAGCAUGCAAGGCCCCUGUGGGCGUGAGACGACGUGGAAACCAGGUUCCCGCAGCCACGCCGUGUGCUGCAUUCCUUGCGCGUCCACGGAAUGAAUGGCUUCUGCAUCUUU